UACGGGGGGGGCAAGCGUUGUUCGGACUUACUGGGCGUAAAGGGUUCGUAGGUGGCUGGCUAAGUCAGACGUGAAAUCCCUCAGCUUAACUGGGGAACUGCGUCUGAGACUGGUCGGCUCGAGUGCAGGAGAGGAACGCGGAAUUCCAGGUGUAGCGGUGAAAUGCGUAGAGAUCGGGAGGAACAUCAGUGGCGAAGGCGGCCAUCUGGGACAACACUGACGCUGAAGCACGAAAGCGUGGGGAGCAAACAGG
rnacentral:rRNA from 1 species